rfam:Phytophthora infestans T30-4 supercont1.24 genomic scaffold, whole genome shotgun sequence.
ACCCGUCUAGCUCAGUCGGUAGAGCGCUGGCCUUUUAAGCCCAGUGGUCGUGGGUUCGAGCCCCACGGGGGGUG